rnacentral:rRNA from 1 species
CCUACGGGUGGCAGCAGUGAGGAAUAUUGGUCAAUGGGCGCGAGCCUGAACCAGCCAAGUAGCGUGAAGGAUGACUGCCCUACGGGUUGUAAACUUCUUUUAUAAAGGAAUAAAGUGAGGAACGAGUGCCUUUUUGCAUGUACUUUAUGAAUAAGGAUCGGCUAACUCCGUGCCAGCAGCCGCGGUAAUACGGAGGAUACGAGCGUUAUCCGGAUUUAUUGGGUGUAAAGGGAGCGUAGAUGGGUUGUUAAGUCAGUUGUGAAAGUUUGCGGCUCAACCGUAAAACUGCAAUUGAUACUGGCAGUCUUGAGUACAGUGGAGGUAGGCAGAAGUCGUGGUGUAGCGGUGAAAUGCUUAGAUAUCACGAAGAACCCCGAUUGCGAAGGCAGCUUACUAAACGUUGACUGACAUUGAUGCUCGAAAGUGUGGGUAUCAAACAGGAUUAGAUACCCGUGUAGUC